rnacentral:rRNA from 1 species
GUCUACGGCCAUACCACCCUGAACGCGCCCGAUCUCGUCUGAUCUCGGAAGCUAAGCAGGGUCGGGCCUGGUUAGUACUUGGAUGGGAGGAAUCCGGAUUUUGUAGCUU